GAACUUUUCACUUUCCUGUCCUUUCAAGCAACAGAAAUCAACUAGCAAUCAGAGAGUAACCUACCCAUCCUCUUGGGCAAAAUUUCUUUGGUUCAUGAAAUGCUGCAAAUAUUACACAAUUCUAUGUUUCUUCUUUUUCUAAAGAGGGCAGCAACUGAGUAGGCAUUGAGGUUGAGUAGAACACAUGACUGGUUAACUCUUAAAUCGUGCUAGACAAACCUCUCCACUGAAGUACUAAUCAACUUAAAAUAUCAAUGUACCCAUGGAGCAGCUUGGGGAGUCAGAGGAGGUCUCAGGGAAAUAGCGAUGCUUCAAGAGAGUUAAAGGCUAUACCAGCCUCUUCCCAGAGCCACCUUUGCACACCUUCAUUUGUGCACAAAUAAAUCUAUUGUGAUUAU
rnacentral:lncRNA from 1 species